AUUGAACGCUGGCGGCAUGCUUUACACAUGCAAGUCGAACGGCAGCGCGGGCUUCGGCCUGGCGGCGAGUGGCGCACGGGUGAGUAAUGCAUCUGAACGUGCCCAGUAGUGGGGGAUAGCCCGUCGAAAGCCGGAUUAAUACCGCAUACUACCUGCUGGUGAAACCGGGGGACCGAAAGGCCUCGCGCUAUUGGAGCGGCCGAUGUCGGAUUAGCUAGUUGGUGGGGUAAAGGCUUACCAAGGCGACGAUCCGUAGCUGGUCUGAGAGGACGACAAGCCACACUGGGACUGGGACACGGCCAAGACGACUAAGGGAGGCAGCAGAGGGGAAUGUGGGACAAUGGGGGCAAACAUGAUACAGCCAGGCCGCGUGUGGGAAGAAGGCCUUCGGGUUGUAAAGCGCGUUUGUGCGGGAAGAAAUCCUCUGGGCUAAGACCCAGGGGGGAUGACGGUAACGGAAGAAUAAGCACCGGCUAACUACGUG
rnacentral:rRNA from 1 species